UAGUUGUGGGGUAACGGCCUACCAAGUCGACGAUCAGUAGCCGGACUGAGAGGUUGAACGGCCACAUUGGGACUGAGACACGGCCCAAACUCCUACGGGAGGCAGCAGUGGGGAAUAUUGCACAAUGGGGGAAACCCUGAUGCAGCGACGCCGCGUGAAGGAAGAAGUAUUUCGGUAUGUAAACUUCUAUCAGCAGGGAAGAAACUAACGGUACCUGACUAAGAAGCACCGGCUAAAUAC
rnacentral:rRNA from 1 species